ACGGAAGGCAGCAGUGGGGAAUAUUGGGCAAUGGGGGCAACCCUGACCCAGCAACGCCGCGUGAAGGAAGAAGGCUUUCGGGUUGUAAACUUCUUUUACCAGGGACGAAGAAAGUGACGGUACCUGGAGAAAAAGCCACGGCUAACUACGUGCCAGCAGCCGCGGUAAUACGUAGGUGGCAAGCGUUGUCCGGAUUUACUGGGUGUAAAGGGCGUGUAGGCGGAGCAGCAAGUCAGAAGUGAAAUCUAGGGGCUCAACCCCUAAACUGCUUUUGAAACUGUUGCCCUUGAGUAUCGGAGAGGCAGGCGGAAUUCCUAGUGUAGCGGUGAAAUGCGUAGAUAUUAGGAGGAACACCAGUGGCGAAGGCGGCUUACUGGACGAUAACUGACGUUGAGGCUCGAAAGCGUGGGGAGCAAACAGGAUAGAUACCCUGGUA
rnacentral:rRNA from 1 species